rnacentral:rRNA from 1 species
AAAACACCCCUACGGGAGGCAGCAGUAAGGAAUAUUGGGCAAUGGACGCAAGUCUGACCCAGCCAUGCCGCGUGGAGGAUGAAGGCCCUCUGGGUUGUAAACUUCUUUUAUUUGGGAAGAACUGUAGGUUUUCUAACUUACUUGACGGUACCAGAUGAAUAAGCACCGGCUAACUCCGUGCCAGCAGCCGCGGUAAUACGGAGGGUGCAAGCGUUAUCCGGAUUCACUGGGUUUAAAGGGUGCGUAGGCGGGCAGUUAAGUCAGUGGUGAAAUCUCCGGGCUCAACCCGGAAACUGCCGUUGAUACUAUCUGUCUUGAAUAACGUUGAGGUGAGCGGAAU